rnacentral:rRNA from 1 species
ACGAACGCUGGCGGCGUGCUUAAUACAUGCAAGUCAACGACUUUUGGAGUAGCAAUAUUUCAAGAGGAGUGGCGCACGGGUGAGUAACACGUAGGCAAUCUACCUUUAGGACUGACACAACUCGUCGAAAGACGGGCUAAUAUCAGAUAAUGCAGCGGCUCCGCAUGGAGACAGUUGUUAAAGUACAAGCGCCUGAAGAUGAGCCUGCGGUCCAUUAGCUAGUUGGUAGAGUAAUAGCCUACCAAGGCAACGAUGGAUAGCUGGUCUGAGAGGAUGAUCAGCCACACUGGAACUGAGACACGGUCCAGACUCCUACGGGAGGCAGCAGUAAGGAAUAUUGCUCAAUGGCCGAAAGGCUGAAGCAGCAACGCCGCGUGAAGGAUGAAUGGCCUUUGGCCUGUAAACUUCUGUAAAAGAGGAAAAAUAGUUAGGUAUAUCCUAAUGUGAUUGUACUCUUGAAGUAAGCCCCGGCUAACUACGU